GCUGGGCACACACGAACCUGCAUGGGGUGGGAGGAAACGCGCGGGGGGCUGCUGACUUCUCUUGCCUCUCACACACCCUGGUGUCAGGUGCCGGCCAACCUUCCCUGCCCUGGGGCAGAAGUUCAGAAGCCUGGCACCUUUCCGUUCAGACUCCUAGGCCCCAGACCAGACUCAGCCCCAGCAGUGGGUCUAGGACCUGUCCUUUGAGGAAAAGCUCCAUGGGUGAUCCUGAGGAGCCGUGGUCCUAUGUUUGAGAACCCCUGCUGCCAAGGACACCAAGAUGUCCAGACCCGGAUCCCUGACCCCAAGGCACACAGUCUGAUGGGAAGAGGAGGCGUGCACACGGGCAGCCACACCUUCUCUCUUAUGUGCUGUUUUUGGUGGAAGCCAAGAAAUGUUCUACUAUCCCAGGUCCACUGAGCCUCUGCUACCCAGUGAGAGGGCUGCAGAGAUGCUGGUUAGGUGAGGAGCAAGGGACACAUGGAAGAAAUGAAAGAGGGGGCAAGGGAAGGCUUCCAGAGGAGGUGGCACUUGAACCAUGACUUCAACAGAUGACCAGCAUUUGCCAGGCCGAUGGGUGCCGGUGGGAAGCCAGACUGCAUGUGUGUGUGGUGCAGAGAAGCCGCAUUCCAGACGGAGAUAAGGGCUCACGAGGGACAAGCAGUGCUGUGGGCUGAAAAGUGUCCCCCAAAGAUAUCUGUUGAAGCCCUAAUCCCCAGGAGCUCAGAUAUGAUGGUCUUACAUGGAAAUAGGGUCGUUGUAGAUGCAAUUAGUUAAGAUGAGGUCAAACUGGAGUAGGGUGGGCCUCUAAGCCCGUCUGACUUGUAAGACGGGAGAGCCCCUUGAGGAGCCACAGAUGCGUGUGCAUGAGGGGAGGUGGCCACGAGAUACGGGGGCAGGCUCCCAAGCCAGAUGAGCCAGGAACCCCUGGGGUGACUGGAAGCUGAGAGCGCUGAGGGAGGCCCUCCUCUCAGGGCUCCCAUGGGAGCACGGCCCUGCGAACACCCUGACCGCAGACCCUGCCUCCCCUCCAGAACUAUGGGACGAUUGUUUUGUGUUGUUGUAAGUCUCCCUGUGGUGGGUGGUUAUGGCAGCCCUGGGAGACGACCUCAAGCAGGACAAAUGCAGCAGGACAAUGAGGGAGGGAGGGAGAUAGGAUGGCCCACCCCAGGGGGCACACAUCACUCAGGUGACAGCAGGAAGGCUGGAGUGGCCGGAGAUGGUGCUGGCCAGGGUGGCAGGGGCCCUGAAAGCCACAUUUAAAAAAUUCAGAUUUUAUAACGAGGGUAAUAGAAAUCCAUUGGAAUGUCUUAAGCAAAAGAGUGACUCCGUUAGAUAUGGUGGUUGUCAGCAUGUCCAGCUCGGUUUGACAAAUAUUUAUGAAGUGCCUGCUAUGUGCCUGGCACUGGCUAGGUAAUGGGGCUAGAAGAGUGAGUGACACACCUCCUGUCCUAUUGAUGCCCAUGGUUUCCAUUGUGCAUGAGGCCCAGCCACAUGCUGGUCCUUGGGCCCAGCGGUAUAUCCCAGUAUUCUGAGGCAAGGCCGCCUUUUGCUGAGCAGCAGGUGGUUGUUUGCGUGGGGCUGUGGCCAUAGCUGUGGUGUCACCCAGGCUAGUUUGUGUGGUGAGAAGGGCUGGGACUGAGGACAGGCCUGACUGAUGGUGACACCAGGUCACAGGAGCCAGAGAAAAAGAGGACCAGGGGACACUGGAAAGGAUCCAGCCAGGGAGGCAGGGUCAAGGAGCAGAGAGGCGAUGGUGGUUGAGAAAGACAAACACCAAAGAGAGGUGGGUAAGGGAAGGAUGGGAAGUGCCUACUGCUUAUGAUCACUAGGAGGUCAUGGUGGCCUUCACACCAUAGUUAUUCCCCAGGCUGGGCAACAGGAAGAAGUCAGGGGGUGAAGCCAAGAAACAUGGCUAUGAAAGGAAAACAAGAAUGGUGAGAGUGAAUAGGGCCUGCUGUUGGGUUUCAAGCGGAGACAUUCCCUGUGGAGGGGGGAGCCAAGGAGGGUGACGCCAUCAGGAGAGGGACUGAUCGGUGGUGCGAGUCCCUGAGAAGCUGGCCCCCAAGCUCAGCCCAGAGGAAGGGAGGCGUUGGACCUUGAGGAGAAAGAGAAGACGGCUUCUGGGGAGAAGGAGGCGAGGACAGAGGCAAACGAACUCAGUUCAUGGACAGAUUAAAAAAACCCAAGUACAUGGAAUCCAGGGACACUGACCGCUAUUUUCCCUGGAGUAGGAAUUAAGAUCAUCUGCCGAAAGAGAAGGCUGAGGUGCUGAAAUAGUCGCUGAAGGGAAACAAGAGCACAACUGCUUUGAAACUUGGAGGAGAUGAGCACCACUGGCUUUGGGGACUCUGCUCCCAUCAACGCACAGAAGGAGCCUGACUCUACACAGCAGGCACAGGCACCCUCAGCUUGGCAAUGGUGCUACCUGAGGCCAAGGAAAUGGCCUUGAGGGCUCUAUGGAUGGAGGACUGAAGAGAAAGAAGCCUGUCCUCUAAAGGUAGGAAGGAUUCUCAUCACUCUGGUGGACAAUAUAUGGACAUCUCUGAAUGUAAGGUGCACAAAUUGACUUCUUGAGGCUCCCUCUAGCCCCAGAAUUCUGAAAUUCAAGGGAAUGGAUGAUUCAACCUCAAAGUUACAGGCUUUUAGCCAAGCAUCUCCUUCCAUGAAGUUAGGACCAGCAUCCUAGGCGGCCUCCCUCGAUUCUCUCCAAGUUAAAAGGCUAGAUGAGACCAUUGCCAAUAUCCCUUCCACCUCUAAAAGACAUUAAUAUUAUUACUGGGCCGUUAAGAUCAAACAAGGGCAAAGGAAAAAGCACUCCACUUUUGGACACUGCUUCUGUCCAAACUCCAAGAGUGUAGGAGCUCUGUCCAGAGAAGGAAACUGGUAAGAGGACAAGUGGAAUGACCAGGCAGAAGAGCACAGGAUCCCCAGCCCAUGUCCUCAGCUGCAACUGUAAAGCCCCCAUGUGAGUGGCUGAGUCCUUUAAAAGGCAAGGGAAGUGGUUCUGUCCAUGUGGCAGGUCCCUAAAAAGUGGGGGUGUAAGACACCCACACCAGCAUAAGGAGCUUUCUCACUUGUGCCUCCCAGGCCUCAGUUUCAUCAUCCAUAAAAUGGGGAGAGUAAGGAUGGAAUUGAACUUUACCACUUCAAACUGACCACUGAGCUAAGUACAGUGGAGGGGCACUGGGCAGGACAGGGCAGGAGACCAGCAAUGAAAUUGCCGGGUAAGCUUUGGGCACAUGCAGACAAGGAUUUCUUCUGAGCCUUCAACUGAAGACUCCCUAUUUGUCCAAGGGCAGGAGGGGACACUGGGAGUGGAUGGGAGGGCCUCAGCUCUGGAAGGCAGGGUGGGCUGCGGG